ensembl:lncRNA
CUGCCGCACCAUUGCCUCUUUCCUCACAUCAUAAGGUGUUGUACCAGUAUGUACUUCUGCCAGUACUAGAUGGGUGGGCUGCUGAUUCCUCAAAACAUGGAGUCUUACUUUGUCACCAGGCUGGAGUGCAGUGGCAUGAUCUUGGCUCACUGCAACCUCCGCUUCCGCCUCCCAGGUUCAAGUGAUUCCCCUGGAUCAGCCUCCUGAGUAGGUGGGACUACAGACAUGCCAGCCUCCUUGCUGCUUCUUGGACAUAUCACAACACUCCCACCGUGGCCUUGUCUUUCCCAUCAAGCAUUGUCCCUCUUUCAAAUAUAGAUGUGAACUCAUCAGAAAAGGGAUGUGUUAGCAAUGUGUGUCUCCAAAGGCUAUUACGGUCUGAAUGCUGACGUAGCCCAUGAGCGAAUGUGUUGGAUCGCUGCCAUUGACAAACUUCAGGCCGUUUCUCAUGUCCCUGCACCCAGCUCUGAGAGGGCGUGGGGAUGAGUCACAGCAUGGAGUCCAGACCUGAGGGUGAUAGAUAGGUGAAGAUGGUCCUAGGACCAUCUUCCUCAGGGCUAUGCCGAGCAGGAAGAUGGCACGAGUGUUUUCCUAUGACACAGCUGUCUGAUAAAUUCCCACCGCAGCAAAGUUAAUACCUGGAUACACGGCGCCGACAGCCAACACAGAGAGCGAGGGGCACGCUAGGUAAGCCAUGUCUUCUGCUUUACUCCAAGAAAGACUCUGGAUAGCACAAGGCCUCCAGUAUAUUUUGACAGACUGUUUUGCACCAGAAAAGCUAAUUUGCUAUGAUUAGUUGCACUACAUUUGCGAGAUAGUUACUCUAUGUUUAUUUGGAAGGCAAAUGAGAGUAUCUUUUGGUGAUUUUUCUUUAAGAACUGAAGAAACUCUCUAAAUUUUCUUAAAAAAAAAAAAAAGCGACCAUGAAUAAAACCUCUUGGGUCCUGGGAAAUAGAAAUGUUUAUGCACCAUGAAAAGACAAAAGGGGCCCGCACCACUUACAAGCAGCCCCAGCAGAAACGCAGAGGGAGAGGAGGGAGCCGGAGGGCCCAGGGAAGCCAGGUAUAGCACUGAGGCCUGGGGGAGACUGAGCCAAUGGUGAGAGGGGAGAUGCAAGCUGGAGGAGCCUGAGCUAAAGGCCCAGAUCAGUCAGGAAGAAAUAGAGAGGCCUUUCAGAAAGUUCUCAGAGUAGCAGACAGGAAUAAAGGGAGAAUUGGAGGCUUCGUGGAGUAGCACUGGAGAGAGAGGGAGACCCUGGGGCUGAACACAGAGAAGUAGAACUUGAGAAAAGCUUGAUACUGAUGGGAAGACACCCUAAUCUCUUGCUCUCAUCUUUCUUUCUUUCUUUCCUUCCUUCCUUCCUUUUUCUUUCCUUCUUCUCUACUUUUCUCCCUCCCUCCCUUUCAGUCACACUCAUACACACACACACACACACACACACACACACAUAAUGUCUAAUACAUGUCUUGCUUUCUUCCAUGAAAUUCUAUGUGCUAUGCAAUAUAGGCCUCUUGGGCCAACUAUAAAUCAUCAAUAAAGUCUACAUUUCUCAUG